GACGAACGCUGGCGGCGUGCUUAACACAUGCAAGUCGAACGGAAAGGCCCUGCUUUUGUGGGGUGCUCGAGUGGCGAACGGGUGAGUAACACGUGAGUAACCUGCCCUUGACUUUGGGAUAACUUCAGGAAACUGGGGCUAAUACCGGAUAGGAGCUCCUGCUGCAUGGUGGGGGUUGGAAAGUUUCGGCGGUUGGGGAUGGACUCGCGGCUUAUCAGCUUGUUGGUGGGGUAGUGGCUUACCAAGGCGUUGACGGGUAGCCGGCCGGAGAGGGUGACCGGCGGCGUGGGAGGGGAGCCACCCACUGUGGGACUGAUAGAGGCCCCAGCCGCCAAGGGGGGCCAGUGGUGGGAAGUCUGACCAAGGGGGGGGAGGUGUGAGCAAGCGGCCCGGGGGGCGGGAUGCCGCCUUUGUGGUUGAAACCAGCUUCCGCCUGUGACGAGGCGUGAGUGACGGUAAGGGAAAAAGAAGCCCCGGCUAACUCCGUG
rnacentral:rRNA from 1 species